rnacentral:rRNA from 1 species
CAGGUCUUGACAUCCUCUGACAAUCCUAGAGAUAGGACUUUCCCCUUCGGGGGACAGAGUGACAGGUGGUGCAUGGUUGUCGUCAGCUCGUGUCGUGAGAUGUUGGGUUAAGUCCCGCAACGAGCGCAACCCUUGUCCUUAGUUGCCAGCAUUCAGUUGGGCACUCUAAGGAGACUGCCGGUGACAAACCGGAGGAAGGUGGGGAUGACGUCAAAUCAUCAUGCCCCUUAUGACCUGGGCUACACACGUGCUACAAUGGAUGGUACAAAGGGUUGCGAGACCGCGAGGUUUAGCCAAUCCCAUAAAACCAUUCUCAGUUCGGAUUGUAGGCUGCAACUCGCUUACAUGAAGCCGGAAUCGCUAGUAAUCGUGGAUCAGCAUGCCACGGUGAAUACGUUCCC